CUGCGUAGGCACGCAGUCCUGCACAGCUCUGUGUUUAAUGCCUGGGAUGCCCUGUGUCAGACCUGAGGACCUCUUCUGAAGCUUGCUAAAGGCUGUUGAAAGAUCCCCUAUGUCCUUGACGAGCUGUAGGUGCUCUGGCAUCUUGACCUGAGCAGCAUCCAAAUGGACCUUCACGUCCUCUGCAUUAAGAGACUCGGUGCCCUGUUCGUCAGUGAAGUCCACGGAAAACAUGCCUGAGCUUGGCAGAUUGGGACUUCGCCGACCCCCCGGCGCUGCUGGCCUUGCAGAAAUACUCUCCUGACUGGUCUCUGUUCAAGUUCUUCAGAAUCAGGUUGUUUUUAUAUUUG